UACGUAGGGUGCGAGCGUUAAUCGGAAUUACUGGGCGUAAAGCGUGCGCAGGCGGUUCGCUGUGUCCGAUGUGAAAUCCCCGGGCUUAACCUGGGAACUGCAUUUGUGACUGCACGGCUAGAGUGUGUCAGAGGGGGGUAGAAUUCCACGUGUAGCAGUGAAAUGCGUAGAUAUCUGGAGGAACACCGGUGGCGAAGGCGGCAUCCUGGACCAACACUGACGCUGAGGAGCGAAAGCCAGGGGAGCAAACGGG
rnacentral:rRNA from 1 species